GGGUCAGUAGGUUGGUCGUGCCACCGGUACGUACUGGCCUCACUGAUCCCUCCUUCCUGAAGAACCGUAAUGCCAUUAAUUUGGUGUUGCGGGGAAACAGGACUGUUACUUUGAAAAAAUUAGAGUGUUUAAAGCAAGCUAACGCUUGAAUACAUUAGCAUGGAAUAAUGAAAUAGGACGAUCGAUCCUAUUUUGUUGGUUUCUAGGAUUGACGUA
rnacentral:rRNA from 1 species